rnacentral:rRNA from 1 species
ACGAUGAUGCCCAGCUUGCUGGGUGGAUUAGUGGCGAACGGGUGAGUAACACGUGAGUAACCUGCCCCUGACUCUGGGAUAAGCGUUGGAAACGACGUCUAAUACUGGAUAUGAUCACUGGCCGCAUGGUCUGGUGGUGGAAAGAUUUUUUGGUUGGGGAUGGACUCGCGGCCUAUCAGCUUGUUGGUGAGGUAAUGGCUCACCAAGGCGACGACGGGUAGCCGGCCUGAGAGGGUGACCGGCCACACUGGGACUGAGACACGGCCCAGACUCCUACGGGAGGCAGCAGUGGGGAAUAUUGCACAAUGGGCGAAAGCCUGAUGCAGCAACGCCGCGUGAGGGAUGACGGCCUUCGGGUUGUAAACCUCUUUUAGUAGGGAAGAAGCGAAAGUGACGGUACCUGCAGAAAAAGCACCGGCUAACUACGUGCCAGCAGCCGCGGUAAUACGUAGGGUGCAAGCGUUGUCCGGAAUUAUUGGGCGUAAAGAGCUCGUARGCGGUUUGUCGCGUCUGCUGUGAAAUCCCGAGGCUCAACCUCGGGCUUGCAGUGGSUACGGGCAGACUAGAGUGCGGUARGGGARAUUGGAAUUCCYGGKGUGAGSGGKGGAAUGCGCAGWUAUCAGGAGGAACACCGAUGGCGAAGGCAGAUCUCUGGGCCGUAACUGACGCUGAGGAGCGAAAGCAUUGGGGAGCGAACAGGAUUAGAUACCCUGGUAGUCCAUGCCGUAAACGUUGGGCGCUAGAUGUAGGGACCUUUCCACGGUUUCUGUGUCGUAGCUAACGCAUUAAGCGCCCCGCCUGGGGAGUACGGCCGCAAGGCUAAAACUCAAAGGAAUUGACGGGGGCCCGCACAAGCGGCGGAGCAUGCGGAUUAAUUCGAUGCAACGCGAAGAACCUUACCAAGGCUUGACAUACACCGGAAACGGCCAGAGAUGGUCGCCCCCUUGUGGUCGGUGUACAGGUGGUGCAUGGUUGUCGUCAGCUCGUGUCGUGAGAUGUUGGGUUAAGUCCCGCAACGAGCGCAACCCUCGUUCUAUGUUGCCAGCGGGUUAUGCCGGGGACUCAUAGGAGACUGCCGGGGUCAACUCGGAGGAAGGUGGGGAUGACGUCAAAUCAUCAUGCCCCUUAUGUCUUGGGCUUCACGCAUGCUACAAUGGCCGGUACAAAGGGCUGCGAUACCGUAAGGUGGAGCGAAUCCCAAAAAGCCGGUCUCAGUUCGGAUUGAGGUCUGCAACUCGACCUCAUGAAGUCGGAGUCGCUAGUAAUCGCAGAUCAGCAACGCUGCGGUGAAUACGUUCCCGGGCCUUGUACACACCGCCCGUCAAGUCAUGAAAGUCGGUAACACCCGAAAGCCGGUGGCCUAAACCCUAGGGGA